AAAAACACAGCACUCUGCAAACACGAAAGUGGACGUAUAGGGUGUGACGCCUGCCCGGUGCUGGAAGAUUAAUUGAUGGGGUGCAAGCUCUUGAUCGAAGUCCCAGUAAACGGCGGCCGUAACUAUAACGGUCCUAAGGUAGCGAAAUUCCUUGUCGGGUAAGUUCCGACCUGCACGAAUGGCGUAACGAUGGCCACACUGUCUCCUCCAGAGACUCAGCGAAGUUGAAAUGUUUGUGAUGAUGCAAUCUCCCCGCGGAAAGACGGAAAGACCCCAUGAACCUUUACUGUAGCUUUGUAUUGGACUUUGAACGGAUCUGUGUAGGAUAGGUGGGAGGCUUUGAAGUGCGGUCGCUAGAUCGCAUGGAGCCAACGUUGAAAUACCACCCUGGUGCGUUUGAGGUUCUAACCUGGGUCCCUUAUCGGGAUCGGGGACAGUGCAUGGUAGGCAGUUUGACUGGGGCGGUCUCCUCCCAAAGCGUAACGGAGGAGUUCGAAGGUACGCUAGUUACGGUCGGACAUCGUGACGAUAGUGCAAUGGCAUAAGCGUGCUUAACUGCGAGACUGACAAGUCGAGCAGAUGCGAAAGCAGGACAUAGUGAUCCGGUGGUUCUGUAUGGAAGGGCCAUCGCUCAACGGAUAAAAGGUACUCUGGGGAUAACAGGCUGAUACCGCCCAAGAGUUCAUAUCGACGGCGGUGUUUGGCACCUCGAUGUCGGCUCAUCUCAUCCUGGGGCUGUAGCCGGUCCCAAGGGUAUGGCUGUUCGCCAUUUAAAGAGGUACGUGAGCUGGGUUCAAAACGUCGUGAGACAGUUUGGUCCCUAUCUUCCGUGGGCGCUGCAGAUUUGAGAAAGCCUGCUCCUAGUACGAGAGGACCGGAGUGGACGCACCCCUGGUGUACCUGUUGUCACGCCCGUGGCAUCGCAGGGUAGCUAAGUGCGGAAGAGAUAACCGCUGAAAGCAUCUAAGCGGGAAACUCGUUUCAAGAUGAGAUCUGCCGGGGCCUUGAGCCCCCUCAAGAGUCGUUCUAGACCAGGACGUUGAUAGGCUGGGUGUGCAAGGGCAGCAAUGCUCUGAGCUAACCAGUACUAAUUGCUCGUGCGGCUUGACCCU
rnacentral:rRNA from 1 species